AUGUUGACAUAAACAAUCAUCUUUACUAUAUCUACGUAGCAAAGAAAACUGCAUGGGUUGAUAAAAGAUUAUAGAGGAUAAUCUAAUUAAUUAUUCAACUAAACGACUUAUUAUUUGUGAAUCUAGCUCAUGUAUUCAUGAACAACCUUCGUUUGACAAGAGGAAUCCAUACAUUCGUCUCCUUGCCUCUUUAUUCGUUCAGGACUCCUGAACAAGGUUCUACUGGCUCUCAUCGUCAUUUAAUAUUUUAAAUGAUGAUCGGAAAGAAAUUCAACCCUCGGAGUAUGCUUUUUUGUGGCCAUGGACUGACUCACGAAGAAAAUAGAGCGCAGAUCGCUUUGUAUCGUGAUAUCACAUGAAUAAAUAUAAUAUAGACUUAAAUCAAUUCAUGAAUUAGUUCUUGACGUUAGAGUGAUACUGAUGGAUGAUGAAAUAAAGGGAUGUUCGAUAAAGGCUCUACUAAAUAAUGAUUGUUUCCUCCAUUUAAGGAUUUUUGAAUGGGAUAUCCUAAUUAUACGUUAAUGAAUCAUAGUAGUUGCCUUAGUUGAGGCUUGAAGAAAUGGAAAAAGCUCUAUCGAUAGAAAGAAAGGAAUAUUUAUUGAUGAAUGAUAGCUCUUUCUGAAGAUGGUGGGUAGCCUCAUAUUUCUCUAUCGUAUCUACUGUUACCAUUAAUGGAGGUUAAAUAGCUCACGAAGGUGCAUCCCUUUCUUGAAUUCAUCUCAAUGGCCUCAGUAUUAUCCCAUUGUACUCCACCUCGACUUCCUUCUCAACCUGGGAAUCUCCUAAGAAUCUUAUCAUGACAAACUACUUUAAAAUAUCUCUAUCCCAGAUGGCCGGUAAGAUAAUCAUGCUGGACUUUUUUGUCUCUCAAAAGUAUACCUUUAAAAUAGACCUUAUGGCAUUUGACAAUAUUUACUCAUUUAAAAUUGGCCUUCUUAAACAUCAAA
rnacentral:lncRNA from 1 species